UUCGGGCUUCGGCUCGACUCUCCCACCCUUUGUGAACGUACCUCUGUUGCUUUGGCGGCUCCGGCCGCCAAAGGACCUCCAAACUCCAGUCAGUAAACGCAGACGUCUGAUAAACAAGUUAAUAAACUAAAACUUUCAACAACGGAUCUCUUGGUUCUGGCAUCGAUGAAGAACGCAGCGAAAUGCGAUAAGUAAUGUGAAUUGCAGAAUUCAGUGAAUCAUCGAAUCUUUGAACGCACAUUGCGCCCCUUGGUAUUCCGGGGGGCAUGCCUGUUCGAGCGUCAUUACAACCCUCAAGCUCUGCUUGGAAUUGGGCACCGUCCUCACUGCGGACGCGCCUCAAAGACCUCGGCGGUGGCUGUUCAGCCCUCAAGCGUAGUAGAAUACACCUCGCUUUGGAGUGGUUGGCGUCGCCCGCCGGACGAACCUUCUGAACUUUUCUCAAGGUUGACCUCGGAUCAGGUAGGGAUACCCGCUGAACUUAA
rnacentral:rRNA from 4 species